UACGUAGGGUGCAAGCGUUGUCCGGAAUUAUUGGGCGUAAAGAGCUCGUAGGCGGUUUGUCGCGUCUGCUGUGAAAAUCCAGGGCUUAACCCUGGACCUGCAGUGGGUACGGGCAGACUGGAGUGCGGUAGGGGAGAUCGGAAUUCCUGGUGUAGCGGUGGAAUGCGCAGAUAUCAGGAGGAACACCGGUGGCGAAGGCGGAUCUCUGGGCCAUAACUGACGCUGAGGAGCGAAAGCAUGGGGAGCGAACAGG
rnacentral:rRNA from 1 species